rnacentral:rRNA from 1 species
GAUGGGACAAGCAAAUUUCCCCAAAAACACAAAGUUUUGGUCCUAAACUUACCGUUGUUUUUAAUCAAAAUUACACAUGCAAGCAUCCGCGAACCAGUGAGAAUGCCCUAUAAAGUAUCAAGGAGCAGGUAUCAGGCACAACAAAUUAGCCCAAAACACCUUGCUAUGCCACACCCACACGGGCACCCAGCAGUGAUAAAUAUUAAGCAAUGAGUGAACAACCAACUUAAAGCUCGACUUAGUUAUGAAUACAAGAGCCGGUCAACCUCGUGCCAGCCACCGCGGUUAUACGAGGGGCCCAAAACAUCGGACAUCGGCGUAAAUUAUGGCUAGAGAAACUACUUACAACACGGGAAAUAAACACAAACCCUAACGUAAAAACUGAGACAAAAGAAACCCAAAUUCCCAAGCAUAAAGUAACUUGAACCCAUGAAGACUAAGAAACAAACUAGGAUUAGAUACCCUACUAUGCUUAGUUGUUAACACGACAUUAAACAACACUAAUGUCCGCCAGAGGAUUACGCGCGAAAAGCUUAAAACUCCAAGGACUUGGCGGUGCUCCGUAUCGCCUUAGAGGAGCCUGUCCUAUAAUCGAUACCCCACGCUUUACCUUACCACCUUUUGUAAACAGCCUAUAUACCGCCGUYGCAAACUUACCC